AACGAACGCUGGCGGCAGGCUUAACACAUGCAAGUCGAACGGGUGCAGCAAUGCAUCAGUGGCAGACGGGUGAGUAAGACGAGGGAACCUUCCUAGGGGGACGGAACAACUCAGGGAAACUUGAGCUAAUACCGUAUACGUCCGUUAGGAGAUAGAUUUAUCGCCCUUGGACGGGCCCGCGUCGGAUUAGCUAGUUGGUGGGGUAACGGCCUACCAAGGCGACGAUCCGUAGCUGAUCUUAGAGGAUGAUCAGCCACACUGGGACUGAGACACGGCCCAGACUCCUACGGGAGGCAGCAGUUGGGAAUCUUGGACAAUGGGCGCAAGCCUGAUCCAGCCAUGCCGCGUGAGUGAAGAAGGUCUUCGGAUUGUAAAGCUCUUUUGCCCGGGACGAUAAUGACGGUACCUGGAGAAUAAGCCCCGGCAAACUUCGUGCCAGCAGCCGCGGUAAGAC
rnacentral:rRNA from 1 species